AGACCUUACCGCUGUGGCGGUUCAAAAGCCAGGGGAUGUGCUGCAGGGGAAUGCCGCUCCUGGUCAAGGGCGGACCUCCGGGGGAACUGACCCGGGCCCUGAUCAGCAACUCACCCAGGCUAGGGUUUUUGCGGAAGGCCGACACCAGGUAAUACUCUUUCAGCCGUUCACUCUUCUCCACAAAGGCCCUGAAAUUUUCCUUCACUUUUCUAGCGAUCUGUGUCGCUGCAGGUGAAAAAGUGGUAAUGAAGGGGAUCAUGUGGGUACCAGGGGGAGGCUUCUUGGGGUCCAGGAAGCACCUGAAUUGUCUCCUGAGGAAGGUUCUAGAAUACCCCCUCUUCCUCAGGGCAGCAAACAGGGUUCCAGUGGCCGUAAUGAAGUCCUCCCGCCUGGUACAGAUCCGGUGGAACCUCAAUAAUUGUGACUUGACCAGUCCCGCGUAGGUGUGUCGGGGGUGGAAACUGGUCUUGUGGAGGAGGGCAUGGGUGUCAGUCUGCUUAAAGAAUACCUUAAUGUCCAGAUGGUGGGUGGGUGGGAAAUCCGGGCCCUUGAAGGUAGUGGUAUCAAGGAAGUCCACCGAUACAGGACUGGUGGUGGACUUGAUGGUUAUGUUGGGGUUGUGGGUAUUGAGGGUGUGAAGGAAGACCUGGAAGUCAUCCAUUGAGUGCGUCCACACACCCCAAAUAUCGUCAAGAUACCGGAAGUAUUGGAAGGGCUGAAUUGGGCAGGCGGCAAGGGCAGAGGUCUCCCAUUCUGCCAUGAAUAUAUUCGCGUAGGCCGGGGCAAACUUUUUCCCCAUGGCCGUGCCUUUUAUUUGUAGGUAGAACUUUCCAUUAAACUCAAAGUCAUUCCUCCUAAGGUUAAUGUCAAGAAGUUGGAGAAGUUCCUUCUCCGGCCUGCUGACAUUACGGUAUUUGUGGAAAAUAUUUUUUACGGCUUGGAUGCCUUGGUCUAUGUCAAUAUUGGUAUAUAGGCUGUCUAUAUCUAUGGUGAAUAGGAGGGACUCCUGGGGAAUGACUAUGUUUUUAACUGUAUCUAUGAAGUGAUAUGUAUCUUUAAGGUAACUCUUAUGUUUAAUGGAAAGUGGGGUCAAGUAGUGGUCAAUAUAUUCCGCCGUCCUAUAUGUUUCACUCCCGCAGUCGGAAACAAUAGGUCUGCCAGGGGGAAUUUCGUAGGGCCGGCUCCACUUCUGUGGUUCCUUAUGAAUUUUGGGGAGUAAAUAGAACCUGCGGGGGCGGGGUUCCGGUUCCCCCAAGAGGUAAGUAUGUUGUUUACUAUUAAUAAAUCUUUUAUUUAAUAAAUUAUUGAUUAUUUUUUCUAUCAUAGGGAUGGUGUCAAAGUAAAUAGGGGCGGCCAGUGGGGAGUAAUAGGUGGUAUCGUUAAGUUGUCUGGUGCCCUCCCAGAUAUACUGAGCCCUAUCUAGUAUAACGACUGCGCUUCCCUUGUCUGCCGGUUUUAGCACUAUAUUGUUAUUCUUUUUCAGGCUCUGGAGGGCCUCCAUUUCGUCACGCGUCAAAUUGGGCGCAACCGCGAGGGCGCAACCCGAAAGGCGCGACGGGUGCUCAUCCGCCAGGACCAGUGUGUGGACCUCUGGAUGGAGCAGACCCGGUGAAGGCUCCCACUCGGACCUCGGGGUGAAAGGUCAUAUUUGACCUGAUGGUGCCAAUCGGAGCUGACGCUGGUAGACGGGACGAAGGUGAGGCCUUUAUUGAGAAGGGAGCGCUGUGCGGAGGUAAGUAUAAAGUUUUUGGAUAAGUUUACAAUGUUUUUGUUGGUGUUGUUGUUGUCGUUGUUGUUGUUGUUGUGUGUGUUUGUGUCACCCCCCCGACAGGUCGGGUUUUUGGGGACGCCAGGUUUAAAUGCUGAAGCCAAUGCUUCAGCAUAUUCCUGGCCGUGUUGUCAGUCCAGUGCAGGUUGUCUCUACCUGUUGCGAACUCGUCGCUGGAGAGUGCUGGAAUGAAAUGGAUGGCCUCUGCAUGCCGGAAGUUGGCCCCCGGGUAGCUGUCCAUCUGGAGGUCCUGGAGACCGGUGGAUGGAAGGCGACUAAUGUUUGAGUCCCCGAUCACCAGGACCUUCCUGUGAACGGACAGGUGCCAGUCCACCAUCUUACGAGUCGUACUGAUGUGCCUUGUAGGCCUCGUGCGCGGACUCGUUGGUGUGGCAACCUGCGCCCCGUCCGUGUCCCCUGUCGGCUGAGAAGCCGAAGUGACAGCCCUUGUCCUUUUCUGGUUUCCAGUAAAGAACGAGGACCAGCUAGCACGCGCAUCCGGAGCGGACGUGUCCGGAACCGGCGUGACUGGAGGACGAAUGUCUACCAAAGGCACGUCCGGCAGAGGCGCGUCCGGGAGGGGCGCGUCCAGGAGCGAGGAAGUCGAGGUAGGUGGUCUCGGUUGGCUAGAACCAAGUUGGGACCAGCUUGGAGGCGUGUCAAGGGGCAGCUGGGACCACUCUGGAGGCACGUCAAGGGGUGAC